AUCAAAAGACCUAUUAUGGUUCUGUGUGAGAAAUGAAAAUAUACGAAAAACGAGCAGAUUUAGAAUAUUUAUAAUUUCAUUAGUCAAAACAACAACAAUAACAUUUAGUGAAUUCGCUCACUUUUUGCAUUUUUACUUCUUACACAGACCUUCAGGCCACUUUGAAAAUCCUCAAACCGGAUUGUUAAACGAAACCGUUGUCGGUCGAUUGAUGUAUACUGGAUUUCAAGCCUCUGUGCAAAAAGAAAGGUGUGGAAAAUUCCAACAUGUUUCCACGGAAUCUGCCUACUUGGAGGCGAUCAUGAAUCCUUUUCUUCAGUGCAAACUCAUGAAAAAUGAAUAUUUUGAGAUGUUUUUAAAGUUAGAUUUUUCACUUUUCACGAGUUCACGCUAGAAGAAAAGACUCGUGAUUAAUUUCCUGAAUAAAGGUGCUGAAUGCAGGAGAAACCAAGUUUUUCUAGAGCGCCAAUGAGUAAGGGAGAUGCCAACAAUUGUGUGAUUUACAGCUAGAUUAGUCCAGCAACAUCGACGUUUAAUGACAUGAAUAACGUGUUUCGAGGAAAAUAUAUGGAAUAAAAUGUACAUAACUAAAAGCAAUCUAUUCUAUGGUAUAUUUAGAUUAUUAUGACUUUACUAUUACUUUUUAUUGCUAUUACUGUCAA